GGCUGGUCCGAUGGCAGUGGGUUAUCAGAACUUAUUAACAUUAGUGUCACUAAAGUUGGUAUACCACCCCCCCCCCACUGCUAAAUUUUACUGGCUUUAA
rnacentral:Y_RNA from 1 species